rnacentral:rRNA from 1 species
AUUGAACGCUGGCGGCAGGCCUAACACAUGCAAGUCGAACGGUAACAGGAAGAAGCUUGCUUCUUUGCUGACGAGUGGCGGACGGGUGAGUAAUGUCUGGGAAGCUGCCUGAUGGAGGGGGAUAACUACUGGAAACGGUAGCUAAUACCGCAUAACGUCGCAAGACCAAAGAGGGGGACCUUCGGGCCUCUUGCCAUCGGAUGUGCCCAGAUGGGAUUAGCUAGUAGGUGGGGUAACGGCUCACCUAGGCGACGAUCCCUAGCUGGUCUGAGAGGAUGACCAGCCACACUGGAACUGAGACACGGUCCAGACUCCUACGGGAGGCAGCAGUGGGGAAUAUUGCACAAUGGGCGCAAGCCUGAUGCAGCCAUGCCGCGUGUAUGAAGAAGGCCUUCGGGUUGUAAAGUACUUUCAGCGGGGAGGAAGGGAGUAAAGUUAAUACCUUUGCCCAUUGACGUUACCCGCAGAAGAAGCACCGGCUAACUCCGUG